rnacentral:rRNA from 1 species
AUUGAACGCUGGCGGCAGGCCUAACACAUGCAAGUCGAACGGCAGCACAGAAGAGCUUGCUCUUUGGGUGGCGAGUGGCGGACGGGUGAGUAAUGUCUGGGAAACUGCCCGAUGGAGGGGGAUAACUACUGGAAACGGUAGCUAAUACCGCAUAACGUCGCAAGACCAAAGUGGGGGACCUUCGGGCCUCACACCAUCGUAAGUGCCCAGGUGGGAUUAGCUAGUAGGUGGAGUAAUGGCUCACCUAGGCGACGAUCCCUAGCUGGUCUGAGAGAAUGACCAGCCACACUGGAACUGAGACACGGUCCAGACUCCUACGGGAGGCAGCAGUGGGGAAUAUUGCACAAUGGGCGCAAGCCUGAUGCAGCCAUGCCGCGUGUAUGAAGAAGGCCUUCGGGUUGUAAAGUACUUUCAGCGGGGAGGAAGGCGGUGAGGUUAAUAACCUCGCCGAUUGACGUUACCCGCAGAAGAAGCACCGGCUAACUCCGUGCCAGCAGCCGCCGUAA